rnacentral:rRNA from 1 species
AUUGAACGCUGGCGGCAUGCCUUACACAUGCAAGUCGAACGGCAGCACGGGAGCAAUCCUGGUGGCGAGUGGCGAACGGGUGAGUAAUAUAUCGGAACGUGCCCAGUCGUGGGGGAUAACGUAGCGAAAGCUACGCUAAUACCGCAUACGAUCUAUGGAUGAAGGCGGGGGAUCGCAAGACCUCGCGCGAUUGGAGCGGCCGAUAUCAGAUUAGGUAGUUGGUGGGGUAAAGGCUCACCAAGCCGACGAUCUGUAGCUGGUCUGAGAGGAUGACCAGCCACACUGGGACUGAGACACGGCCCAGACUCCUACGGGAGGCAGCAGUGGGGAAUUUUGGACAAUGGGCGCAAGCCUGAUCCAGCAAUGCCGCGUGCAGGAUGAAGGCCUUCGGGUUGUAAACUGCUUUUGUACGGAGCGAAAAGGCUUCCACUAAUACUGGGGGCUCAUGACGGUACCGUAAGAAUAAGCACCGGCUAACUACGUGCCAGCAGCCGCAGUAACAC